AGACCCGAAACCCGGUGAUCUAGCCAUGGGCAGGUUGAAGGUUGGGUAACACUAACUGGAGGACCGAACCGACUAAUGUUGAAAAAUUAGCGGAUGACCUGUGGCUGGGGGUGAAAGGCCAAUCAAACCGGGAGAUAGCUGGUUCUCCCCGAAAGCUAUUUAGGUAGCGCCUCGUGAAUUCAUCUCCGGGGGUAGAGCACUGUUUCGGCUAGGGGGCCAUCCCGGCUUACCAACCCGAUGCAAACUGCGAAUACCGGAGAAUGUUAUCACGGGAGACACACGGCGGGUGCUAACGUCCGUCGUGAAGAGGGAAACAACCCAGACCGCCAGCUAAGGUCCCAAAGUCAUGGUUAAGUGGGAAACGAUGUGGGAAGGCCCAGACAGCCAGGAUGUUGGCUUAGAAGCAGCCAUCAUUUAAAGAAAGCGUAAUAGCUCACUGGUCGAGUCGGCCUGCGCGGAAGAUGUAACGGGGCUAAACCAUGCACCGAAGCUGCGGCAGCGACACUCAGGUGUUGUUGGGUAGGGGAGCGUUCUGUAAGCCUGUGAAGGUGUGUCGUGAGGCAUGCUGGAGGUAUCAGAAGUG
rnacentral:rRNA from 1 species